rnacentral:rRNA from 1 species
AUUGAACGCUGGCGGCAGGCCUAACACAUGCAAGUCGAGCGGAGCGGCGGACGGGUGAGUAAUGCCUAGGAAUCUGCCUGGUAGUGGGGGAUAACGUCCGGAAACGGGCCCUAAUACCGCAUACUAUCAGAUGAGCCUAGGUCGGAUUAGCUAGUUGGGGGGGUAAAGGCCUACCCAGGCGCCGAUCCGUAACUGGUCUGAGAGGAUGAUCAGUCACACUGGAACGUAGACACGGUCCGGACUCCUACGAGAGGCAGCAGUGGGGAAUAUUGGACAAUGGGCGAAAGCCUGAUCCAGCCAGGCCGCGUGUGUGGCGAAGGUGUUCGGAUUGUAAAGCACUUUAAGUUGGGAGGCGUUACCAGCAGAAUAAGCACCGGCUAACUUCGUGCCAGCAGCCGCGGUAAUGC